rnacentral:tRNA from 1 species
GUAGCUCAGUGGGAGAGUGCAUGCCUUGCAAGCAUGAGGGCCCUGGGUUCGAUUCCUCAGC